rnacentral:rRNA from 1 species
UAAUCCUGGUCGGACAUCAGGAGGUUAGUGCAAUGGCAUAAGCUAGCUUGACUGCGAGCGUGACGGCGCGAGCAGGUGCGAAAGCAGGUCAUAGUGAUCCGGUGGUUCUGAAUGGAAGGGCCAUCGCUCAACGGAUAAAAGGUACUCCGGGGAUAACAGGCUGAUACCGCCCAAGAGUUCAUAUCGACGGCGGUGUUUGGCACCUCGAUGUCGGCUCAUCACAUCCUGGGGCUGAAGUAGGUCCCAAGGGUAUGGCUGUUCGCCAUUUAAAGUGGUACGCGAGCUGGGUUUAGAACGUCGUGAGACAGUUCGGUCCCUAUCUGCCGUGGGCGCUGGAGAAUUGAGGGGGGCUGCUCCUAGUACGAGAGGACCGGAGUGGACGCAUCACUGGUGUUCGGGUUGUCAUGCCAAUGGCACUGCCCGGUAGCUAAAUGCGGAAGAGAUAAGUGCUGAAAGCAUCUAAGCACGAAACUUGCCCCGAGAUGAGUUCUCCCUGAGACUUUAAGUCUCCUGAAGGAACGUUAAAGACGAUGACGUUGAUAGGCCGGGUGUGUAAGCGCAGCGAUGCGUUGAGCUAACCGGUACUAAUGAACCGUGAGGCUUAACCUUACAACGCCGAAG